AAGGCUUCAAGUUUUAAUUUGUAUAAUGAUAUUGCAUACUCUCUGUGAGGCAAUAUCUGCAAUGGAGCCUAACAAUCUGUUCUCCUCGCUAUCCAGGGCAGCUUUUGUGUUGCACUUGGACGUCGGAGAACUACAUUU